AGAGUUUGAUCCUGGCUCAGGACGAACGCUGGCGGCGUGCCUAAUACAUGCAAGUAGGACGCACAGUUUAUACCGUAGCUUGCUACACCAUAGACUGUGAGUUGCGAACGGGUGAGUAACGCGUAGGUAACCUGCCUAUUAGAGGGGGAUAACUAUUGGAAACGAUAGCUAAUACCGCAUAACAGUAUGUAACACAUGUUAGAUGCUUGAAAGAUGCAAUUGCAUCGCUAGUAGAUGGACCUGCGUUGUAUUAGCUAGUAGGUAGGGUAAAGGCCUACCUAGGCAACGAUACAUAGCCGACCUGAGAGGGUGAUCGGCCACACUGGGACUGAGACACGGCCCAGACUCCUACGGGAGGCAGCAGUAGGGAAUCUUCGGCAAUGGGGGGAACCCUGACCGAGCAACGCCGCGUGAGUGAAGAAGGUUUUCGGAUCGUAAAGCUCUGUUGUUAAGGAAGAACGAGUGUGAGAAUGGAAAGUUCAUGCUGUGACGGUACUUAACCAGAAAGGGACGGCUAACUACGUGCCAGCAGCCGCGGU
rnacentral:rRNA from 1 species